GUGCUCGCUUCGGCAGCACAUAUACUAAAAUUGGAAAGAUACCAAGAAGAUUAGCGUGGCCCCUGUGCCAGGAUGACACGCAAAUUCGUGAAGCAUUCCGUAUUUUU
ensembl:snRNA U6 U6 spliceosomal RNA